GGGCCCAUAGCUCAGCGGUGAGAGCGGCUGACUCAUAAUCAGUAGGUCCCUGGUUCAAAUCCGGGUGGGCCCA
rnacentral:tRNA from 2 species